rnacentral:rRNA from 1 species
CCAGAGUAUCAAUUGGAGGGCAAGUCUGGUGCCAGCAGCCGCGGUAAUUCCAGCUCCAAUAGCGUAUAUUAAAAUUGUUGCAGUUAAAAAGCUCGUAGUUGAAUUUCUGCUGCAUUACAUAUCUCUUGUUGAGUUUGUUUUUGUGGCUUAUUUCGGUUUGAUUUUUUUAUCUUUCCGGAUGAUUACUUUGAGAAAAUUAGAG